AUUGAACGCCGGCGGCAUGCCUUACACAUGCAAGUCGAACGGCAGCGGGCCCUUCGGGGUGCCGGCGAGUGGCGAACGGGUGAGUAAUGCAUCGGAACGUACCCGGGAGAGGGGGAUAACCGGCCGAAAGGCUGGCUAAUACCGCAUGAACUCGGAAGAGCAAAGCGGGGGACCUUCGGGCCUCGCGCUCUCGGAGCGGCCGAUGUCCGAUUAGGCUAGUUGGUGGGGUAAAGGCCCACCAAGGCGACGAUCGGUAGCGGGUCUGAGAGGACGAUCCGCCACACUGGGACUGAGACACGGCCCAGACUCCUACGGGAGGCAGCAGUGGGGAAUCUUGGACAAUGGGCGCAAGCCUGAUCCAGCAAUGCCGCGUGGGUGAAGAAGGCCUUCGGGUUGUAAAGCCCUUUCGGCGGGGAAGAAAUCGGUCAGGCGAAUAGUCUGGCCGGAUGACGGUACCCGCAGAAGAAGCACCGGCUAACUACGUG
rnacentral:rRNA from 1 species